UACGUAGGGUGCGAGCGUUGUCCGGAAUUAUUGGGCGUAAAGAGCUCGUAGGCGGUGUGUCGCGUCGGCCGUGAAAACCUGGGGCUUAACUCUGGGCGUGCGGUCGAUACGGGCAUCACUAGAGUUCGGCAGGGGAGACUGGAAUUCCUGGUGUAGCGGUGAAAUGCGCAGAUAUCAGGAGGAACACCGGUGGCGAAGGCGGCAUCCUGGACCGAUACUGACGCUGAGGAGCGAAAGCCAGGGGAGCAAACGGG
rnacentral:rRNA from 1 species